rnacentral:rRNA from 1 species
UACAGAGGGUGCGAGCGUUAAUCGGAAUUACUGGGCGUAAAGCGUGCGUAGACGGUUAUCUAAGUCGGAUGUGAAAGCCCCGGGCUCAACCUGGGAAUUGCAUUCGAGACUGAAUAGCUAGGGUACGGUAGAGGGAAGUGGAAUUUCCGGUGUAGCGGUGAAAUGCGUUGAUAUCGGAAGGAACAUCAGUGGCGAAAGCGACUUCCUGGACCAGUACCGACGUUCAGGCACGAAAGCGUGGGGAGCAAACAGG